rnacentral:rRNA from 1 species
UACGUAGGUGGCAAGCGUUGUCCGGAAUUAUUGGGCGUAAAGCGCGCGCAGGUGGUUUCUUAAGUCUGAUGUGAAAGCCCACGGCUCAACCGUGGAGGGUCAUUGGAAACUGGGGAACUUGAGUGCAGAAGAGGAAAGUGGAAUUCCAAGUGUAGCGGUGAAAUGCGUAGAGAUUUGGAGGAACACCAGUGGCGAAAGCGACUUUCUGGUCUGUAACUGACACUGAGGCGCGAAAUCGUGGGGAGCAAACAGG